CAAGAGACAGCUACGUGAUCCAAUCGGAGCCGUCCGUUCCCCCGAACCGACUCAAUCGACGAGAGAACCCCUGUAUAAUUGCCCUCCCCUCCUCGCUAGCCUCUCUCUCCUCUCAUAGCCUGUCGCAGGCUCCUCUCCUCUUCGUUCCUUCACGUCAACUGCGAGGAUGUUGAGUUAUCCAGGCUGGUUCGGUCAUUUGUUGCCCCACAGAACAUGUUAUCUAGGCGACGGCAGUCCGACAUCUUCUGGCGAUUUGGUCGUGAACGCUGACCAAUUGAUGAGCCGGUUCAGUCAAUUUCUGUUGCCCAAUUCUUCACCAACUGAUCCAGCUAUCCAAGAGUAGUUCAUCUGGCUCCCUGGAGCAUGCUGCCACCGGUAUUUUGAGCAGCAGGAGGCCAGGUCGUACUGACCGAUUUUACUUUGAAGAACGCGACGGCCAAUGAACUGGUCACCUGGUUUAUGGUCCUGUUUGCUGACCAAAUGAUGCCCAUGCUCCAGGGUUGCACGUCAGAUAUGCUUCCCUGUCUUCAGAUCUAAGGUAAUUGUGUUGGUAAGCUGAUGUGCCGUGUUGUACUCUACAUGUAUCUAGAUUGGUAGACUAGAACGGCCUUUGCCAUGUCGGGUGCGCUCGCUUGGCAGGCCAGAAGACAAUAAAAGUACAUUUUGUUGUGUUUGCGGGGUGGAGAUCGCACGGGGAACUAUUUGUUCUAUUUUGCCCCGGGUUCUCCACCCUGCCAUUGUGUCUCCGUCUCGUGCUGGUCUGUUGAUUGUGCAACGUCCUGCAAUGUCGCUAUUCGUCUGAACUACACGGCGAUAAUUAUAUACCGAACGUUUCAAA